rnacentral:lncRNA from 1 species
AAGCUGUCGGAGAAGAAGUUUGAGCCUUACCUGGAUUCACUGUUGUGCUGAGUGAGCCCCUACUCGUAGCCUAGUACUCACUCAUGUGUGCUAUGAGCUUUCCUGAGGAUACCCAGCAUCAUGGCAGGACAGGGUGGAAAUGUCUAGAAGGCUCUUCCUGCACUGCAGGCACACGAGGAUGGCUGGGUUUUGCCCGUACUGCUGCAGUCCUUUGCCAGCCUCCCACUUACUGAAAUCUGCAGCGGUGAAGUGUCUCACGACUCUGAAGUUGUCCAUUCCUAGGACAUUCUUGCGGCUUUUCAGCGAGCUCGGAGGAGCACAGAGUUGUCAGCAGGAUAUUACAGUGAUGGAUGAUUUAGAAAACUCCAAGGCUGAUCAGUUUAAUGGAGUCAUGCUAAGGUGCAGCAGGCAUGGGGAGCCUGUACCAUUCCAGCAACAAACAGAAAUUCUCAAAGGACACCAUCACAGAGCUCAGAAUCCACAACCUUAUAGACUGGUACCACUUCCAUCUUUUUCUGUCUCUGAUUCCUGCAAUCAUUAUGUUUAUCCAAAUGGAUUGCCCAAACUGGAAACAAAAAUCAAAAACAAAACCCCCAAGGUGCUCUAGCCCA